GCUGGCGGCAUGCCUAACACAUGCAAGUACGAACGGAAACGGCAGUAUACGAUCCCUUCGGGGUGCGUAUCUGGACGUCGAGUGGCGGACGGGUGAGUAAUGCAUAGGAAUCUACCCAGUAGCGGGGGACAACCUGGGGAAACUCAGGCUAAUACCGCAUACGCCCUACGGGGGAAAGCGGGGGACCUUCGGGCCUCGCACUAUUGGAUGAUCCUAUGUCAGAUUAGCUUGUUGGUAGGGUAACGGCCUACCAAGGCGACGAUCUGUAGCUGGUCUGAGAGGACGAUCAGCCACACUGGGACUGAGACACGGCCCAGACUCCUACGGGAGGCAGCAGUGGGGAAUAUUGCACAAUGGGCGCAAGCCUGAUGCAGCAAUGCCGCGUGUGUGAAGAAGGCCUGCGGGUUGUAAAGCACUUUCAGUAGGGAGGAAACAGUAGCGGGUCAAUACCCCGUUACCUUGACGUUACCUACAGAAGAAGCACCGGCUAACUCUGUGCCAGCAGCCGCGGUAAUACAGAGGGUGCAAGCGUUAAUCGGAAUUACUGG
rnacentral:rRNA from 1 species